UACAGAGGGUGCGAGCGUUAAUCGGAAUUACUGGGCGUAAAGCGUGCGUAGACGGUAGCGUAAGUCAGAUGUGAAAGCCCCGGGCUCAACCUGGGAACUGCAUUUGAGACUGCUCUGCUCGGGUGCGGAAGAGGGAAGCGGAAUUUCCGGUGUAGCGGUGAAAUGCGUAGAUAUCGGAAGGAACACCAGUGGCGAAAGCGGCUUCCUGGUCCGACACCGACGUUCAGGCACGAAAGCGUGGGGAGCAAACAGGAUUAGAUACCCUGGUAGUCCACGCCAUAAACGAUGAGAACUAGACGUUGAGAGGGUAAGCCUCCCAGUGUCGUAGCUAACGCGCUAAGUUCUCCGCCUGGGGAGUACGGCCGCAAGGUUGAA
rnacentral:rRNA from 1 species